AAUAACGUCGAUAUGCAAGUCCAUGACAGACAUCUGGCAGGUCCAAGAAGCAGCCGCCAUCUUAGUUCACCUGUUGCUUACGUGGAACUUGCUCAGCCAAUCAUCAUGUAGCUCUCUCCGCUCUCGCCGCUCGACCAAUUGGCAUCAGUCAGUGAGCCUGCGGACUCCUAACGCAGCUGCUGAUUGGUUGUGGUGACACUUUCUUUUUAUCGUAUAGCUCGCGAAUCAAUUAGUUUUUUCGAAUAUUCGUGGAAGAUAUUUGUUUGUUGGCCUACAAAGGUCACCAAGUGUUGGCGUUGAAGGAAGCACGGCAGAAGCGGCGGCCCUGGAUGGUAUUUUGAGCGAGCGAGAGCAAAGAUGGAGGCUGCGGAUGCUGCCACCGACUGCUGGUGAGUCAGGCCGCUGUAAAUAUUCCCUUAACCUGCCAGAAUGGAUGGAUUUACACCCCGGCGACACCAGUGCACAGGACUGUAUGGCGCGGGUGUGACAAGCCAGCAGCAGGAUGGCGGGGAUUUAUGCGCUCCUCAAACAUUAAUGUGAGACUAAGGUGGACUUGUAUGGUGGUGCUGCCGCGACUCAUGGCUGCUCGUGGUUCAUGAGGACAUUAGAUGAACCGCCCGAUUCAAGUUAAACCGGCCGACAGUGAGAGUCGAGCAGGUAA